rnacentral:rRNA from 1 species
GGUACAACCCUCCGAAAGGGGGGCUGAUACCGCGUACAUCCCCUGGGGGCAUCCCCGGGGGAGGAAAGCCCUUUUGGGCGGGCGGGGAUGGGCAUGCGGCGCAUUAGGAAGACGGCGGUGUGACGGACCACCGUUCCGACGAUGCGUAGGGGUUCUGAGAGGAAGGCCCCCCACACUGGUACUGAGACACGGACCAGACUCCUACGGGAGGCAGCAGUGAGGAAUAUUGGUCAAUGGCCGGAAGGCUGAACCAGCCAAGCCGCGUGAGGGAGGAAGGCGCAGAGCGUCGCAGACCUCUUUUGCCGGGGGACAAAAGGCCGGACUCGUCCGGUCCUGAGGGUACCCGGAGAAAAAGCAUCGGCUAACUCCGUGCCAGCAGCCGCGGUAAUACGGAGGAUGCGAGCGUUAUCCGGAUUCAUUGGGUUUAAAGGGUGCGCAGGCGGGCCUUUAAGCCGGCGGUGAAAUCGCGGGGCUCAACCCCGCCGAGCCGUCGGAACUGGGGGCCUUGAGUGCGGCGGAGGCAUGCGGAAUGCGCGGUGUAGCGGUGAAAUGCAUAGAUAUCGCGCAGAACCCCGAUUGCGAAGGCAGCGUGCCGUGCCGCCACUGACGCUGAGGCACGAAAGCGCGGGGAUCGAACAGGAUUAGAUACCCUGGUAGUCCGCGCCGUAAACGAUGGAUGCUGGGUGUCCGGGGCGUUCAGGCCCUGGGUGCCGGAG